GACAGAGGGUGCAAACGUUGUUCGGAAUCACUGGGCAUAAAGCGCACGUAGGCGGUCCGUUAAGUCAGAUGUGAAAGCCCCCGGCUCAACCGGGGAAUUGCAUCUGAUACUGGCAGGCUCGAGGAUGGCAGGGGUGAGCGGAACUCCAGGUGGAGCGGUGAAAUGCGUAGAUAUCUGGAGGAACACCGGUGGCGAAAGCGGCUCACUGGACCAUAUCUGACGCUGAUGUGCGAAAGCUAGGGUAGCAAACGGG
rnacentral:rRNA from 1 species